UCCCAUUUGGCUCAGUUGGUAGAGCAUGGUGUUUGCAAUGCCAGGGUUGUGGGUUCAAUUCCCACGGGGGAC
rnacentral:tRNA from 1 species